AACGAACGCUGGCGGCAGGCUUAACACAUGCAAGUCGAGCGCCUCGCACGGGGACCGGCAGACGGGUGAGUAACGCGUGGGAAUCUACCCAUCUCUACGGAAUAACGCAUGGAACAGUGUGCUAAUACCGUAUACGUCCUUCGGGAGAAAGGUUUAUGGGAGGUGGAUGAGCGCGCGGUGGAUUAGCUCGUUGGUGGGGUAAAGGCAUACCAAGGCGACGAUCCAUAGGUGGUAGGAGAGGACGACCAGCCACACUGGGACUGAGACACGGCCCAGACGCCCUCGGGAGGCAGCGGUGGGGAAUAUUGGACAAUGGGAGGAAGGCGAAUCCAGCCAUGCCGCGUGAGGGAUGCAGACCCCAGCGUUGUAAAGAUCUUUCUCAGGUGAAGAUAAUGACGGGAACCGGAAAAGAAGCCCCGGCUAACUUCGUGCCAGCAGCCGCCGUAACAC
rnacentral:rRNA from 1 species